rnacentral:rRNA from 1 species
GAUGAACGCUGGCGGCGUGCCUAAUACAUGCAAGUCGACCGACAGACCGGGAUCUUUCUUCUCUGACGUUAACGGCGGACGGGUGGGUAACACAUGGGUAACCUACCUAUACGCCUGGGCUGACUUCGGGAAACCAGAUGUAAUUCCGGCUAAUUUUUUUGACCGUGUGGUUUAAUAGUGAAAGACGGGUUUUUUUUUCCGUAUAGGUGGAUCCGGGCCGCAUUAGCUAGUUUGUAAGGUAACGGCGUUCCAAGGGAACGAUGAGUAGCCGACCUGAGAGGGGGGUCGGCGACCCUGGAACUGAGAAGCGGUCCAGCAUACUACGAGAGGCAGCAGUAGGGAAUCUUACGGCAUGGGCGAAAGCAUGACGGAGCAACGCCGCGGGGGUGAUGAAGGUCUUCGGAUCGUAAAACUCUGUUAUUAGGGAAGAACAAAUGUGUAAGUAACUAUGCACGUCUUGACGGUACCUAAUCAGAAAGCCACGGCUAACUACGUG